rnacentral:tRNA from 1 species
AAGGGUAUAGCUCAGUGAUAGAGUGCAUGCUUAGCAUGCACGAGGUUCUGGGUUCAAUCCCCUGUUCCUCCA